UACGGAGGGUGCAAGCGUUAAUCGGAAUCACUGGGCGUAAAGCGCUCGUAGGCGGUUUGGUCAGUCAGAUGUGAAAGCCCACGGCUCAACCGUGGAACUGCGUUUGAUACUGCCAGACUUGAGUGUCGGAGAGGGUGGCGGAAUUCCGGGUGUAGGAGUGAAAUCCGUAGAUAUCCGGAGGAACACCAGUGGCGAAGGCGGCCACCUGGACGACAACUGACGCUGAGGAGCGAAAGCGUGGGUAGCAAACAGGAUUAGAUACCCUGGUAGUCCACGCGGUAAACGAUGGAUGCUGGGUGUCGGGGGUUUACCUUCGGUGCCGCAGUUAACGCGUUAAGCAUCCCGCCUGGGGAGUACGGUCGCAAGGCUGGA
rnacentral:rRNA from 1 species